rnacentral:misc_RNA from 1 species
GACAAAUGAUAAGUCCGGAGAAAGCAUUUCUUGUACUAGUACUGCCAUUAAAGCAUCCUUCUGAGGUACCCCAGCAGCUCGUCUGCUUAGAACUGCUCUUCGAGUGUACAAUGAAGCCCAUACUUUGCUCACAGCAUUGCUAAAAACAAUUGCAUUUCUCGAACUUACAUUUGGAAUUGAAUCAUAAAGUCCAGCAGCUGACAUGCCAGCCAAAUCCUCGACAUUUGCACUAGAACGGACGAUUAAGCGUGCAUCUUCAGGAAAUAUUCUCCCCACAUUGUCAAUUAGGUCUUGGGGUAAUUGCAGAGAGGACACCAACUCCUGGAGUUGUUUGCAGAGUUCAUCUAGUUCCAAUCCUACUUUUGCUGUUUCUAUUUGUUCCAAAAUAGAUUU